UUUACUCUGUUGUUUUUGGAUUUUUAUUCCUUCUACAUCUAACUCAUUCCUCUAUGUCAUCUCAUUUUCUUAGAUGAAGCUUCUCUUCUGCUUUCAGACAACCCUCUCUCUGACAGUGCAUCAGAGAUGUGUGUGUCGUGGGGCAGCGCGCCGGUGGGAGGCUGCUCAGCGUGUCUCCCUGUUCCUCACAGCUCCUCUACAACAAGCCACUCCCACAUUCCGAGAGGGGAGGAGUCGCUACACACUAGCCCCGCCCAUUCGGAUCCUGUGGUUCAUUCACCUCGACGCAGUUGGCCUGCGAAUGCUCACUCAGUGGCAAUCUGUGAGGGCCUGGAAGACUGGGGUGCUACAGACCUCUCCGCUUUAUCAGACUCAGAGGAGGAGGAGGAGGAUCAGCCUGCCCCACUGGUGGCAGGCAGGUACAGAGUGAUGGUAGAGAGCACCAUGGCCAGCUCUGAUGACAUCAUCUUUAACUGUGGUGAUGUCAUCCAGCUGCUGCAUGAGGAUUCAUCAGGAAUGUGGAUAGUGAAGAAUAUAAGUCGUGGCGAAGAAGGCCGCGUCCUACCCGAGGACUUACAUAGGAUUCUGGGAGAGACGUGCUGAGAGCCAAUCAGGACAGAGGAUGAAUGAAGAAGUGUGCCUGUUUGUUGCUCACUCUUUGCCUGAAUAUCCUUCCAUGUGUACAGACACACACAGACUUAUAUAUUCCAUCAACUUCCUGAAAAAAUGGGCAUCUGAAUCUGCUUGUCAAUCAAAAUGAAGCACAACAUCAGCCACAGACUUUACUCCUCAAACUGCUGUGAGAGUUUCACCUCUGAAGACUGUGAACUCCAGAAAGAACCUCAGAAGACUUUAACAGUGGAAAGCACAUACAAGCCAUCCUUUGCUCUGCCUUCUCCGGCAGCAAUACAUCAGAAUAUUUUGGACUGAAGACUUUAAACAGGGGCUUUUAUUUAUAUGUUCAGAGUGGACUUUUGUUCUAGACGUCAAGC
rnacentral:lncRNA from 1 species